UUACGGCCAUAUCGCGUUGAAACACCGGUUCUCGUUAGAAUACCGAAGUUAAGCAACCCCGAGCCUAGUCAGUACCUAGGUGGGCAACCGCUUUGUAAU